rnacentral:sRNA from 1 species
UAUAUUUCUAUUUUAUAAAUGAAACAACCCGACCCAUUUUUAAAAAAAAUAUAAUUAAAUAUUCCCAUAAAUAUCUAAUUAAACCAACCAACAAAAUAACAAUUAAACCGCAAGUCAAAAAUACUAUUUUAUGAAUAAAUAAAUAAUUCGACCAACAAAACCAAGAAUAACUAACAAUCCUAACCGGGUUCCAAUAACCAAAAACACCAAAAUAAAACAAACGAGUUCCUACAUCAUCCUCUCUUCCUUGCCAUGAUUCCACGAUCACACUUUAUCUUUACCUGCAUCAACAACACAAUGAGAUGCGUAAGUAUUAUCAUAAAUACUUAGUGAGGCGAUCCUCCCAUCUACGAGCUAUACACACAAGCAAAUACAAAGGUAUAAUCACGAAUACAAUACAAACAAACCAGUCAUUGAACAAUUCACCCAAAACACAUUCACCACACCUACAUAUCAUCACACAAAACAAAUCACACAACCCAAUCGCUCAGAUAAGCUCAUGGUCACGCACUCACCUUAACAAAUUGAUUCUAAUAGCAAUUAAACCCAGGAGAGACUCUCCUUGCGUCUGAAACAGUCCAGAAACGUCCUGCAACAAGUCCACAACCAAAAGCAACCUUGAAGCAAAGUGGACAGGAAAAACCAGAAACAAACCGUCUCAAAGACGAAACCCUAAAAUACAAGCUAAACGUUAACUAUUCAAUCGCUCCGGUGAAAUCCUAGCUGCAGACGUCACAAAGCUGCCCACAAAAUCUCGUGCCGAUCAAAAAACAGACGAGACCACGAUCUCAGUUUCAAUUUCCGCUGGUCCUAAUUCGCGUCUGAGAAAACGUGUCUCACGAAACUGCGAAUAACUCAACCAAUUUUAAUCCAAAUCCAAUUCUGUAAACUGGAGAAUAACUAUAAAGGACUUGGGAAUAACUCUACCAAAUUUCGUUACCUUUUACCACGAUUUGAUAUGACGAAACUGAUUUCUCCCAAACCCUAACGAUUGUGCUCCUUCUCCUUUUCUCUCUUUUUCUCAUUUAUAAAACGAAAAGUGGCUAACUAAACCCUAAUUUCGAGUUUCCUUCUUUUAUAGGCACACUAUAGGGUUUCCAAUUAACCCAACCAAUUAAACCGGAUGAUUUAAAAACAAACCCUAACCGAUUUUCCGGUUCACGGGCGUUACAAUAAACAGCUAAGAAAAAUAAUUAAGAUUUUGGGGAUUUGCAAACUACCAUUUUUUUAUACUCUUUUGUAAUAAUACCCUCUAAUGUUGUCCAUUUUUAAAAAUACCAUUUUCCUUAAACAUAAUGACCUAAUUACUCUCAUCUAAUAAGAACAUGUAAUUGGAAACUGAAAAUUUUCCACCAAGUUUAUUUUUCCCACAAAAAAAAAAAAAUUCGCCAAACUUUUUUUCCGCCAAAACAAAAAGGGUUUCUCGCCAAAAUUUUUUUUAAAAAUCCUUGUAAUUUUUU